AUGGUGACUCUUCGAGUGAAGCGCCAUAAUUAUAGAAGUAUAAAAAUUGAGGCAGCACAUGAGAAUUAUUUAAAACAUUCUAUUCCAAGGAUCCCUUGGUUAUUAGCGCACCAUAUCUGAAGCCGGCAUGGGGCAAAGCGCACAUUUUUUGUAAUGAUUAUGGAUUACUAUGACAAUCAAAAGUUGAUAUGUGUACCACAUU
rnacentral:lncRNA from 1 species